rnacentral:lncRNA from 1 species
ACAGAAGCCUGGCGCGCGGCGGCGGCUGGCGGGCGGGCGCCGAGGGCUCGGCCUGGAACGGCGUGACCGGGGCGCUGCGGCGACGGCUCGCGCGGGCGCGCUGGGCUGCCCGGCUAGCCCCCGCGAUCGGCCGCUCAUCGGCCGGUGGGGCGGGCGCCUGGUGAGCUAGCUUCAGGGAGCAGGAAAACUGACCCAGAACAUCAGCAUCAUAGCCAGGCCACCUGGGAUGUUCAUAUCCUGAAGUCUGAGGAUUUGGAGAAAAUUAAAGGAUUUACCUGAAGACAAAGCAUUCUAUUCAUCAGAGACUGGACAAGAGUUACUCUUGCUUUGGGCAAUUAAAGAUGAUGUUGUCAUGGAAACAGUUGAUCUUGCUUUCAUUCAUUGGCUGCUUAGGAGGU